ACUACUGAUAUGCCGAUCUUGCUCCACU
rnacentral:sRNA from 1 species